CCUACGGGAGGCAGCAGUGAGGAAUAUUGGUCAAUGGUCGGGAGACUGAACCAGCCAAGCCGCGUGAGGGAGGAAGGUACAGAGUAUCGUAAACAUCUUUUGUCAGGGGACAAAGACUGGGACGCGUGCCUGGACGAGUGUACGUGAAGAAAAAGCAUCGGCUAACUCCGUGCCAGCAGCCGCGGUAAUACGGAGGAUGCGAGCGUUAUCCGGAUUGAUUGGGUUAAAGGGGUGCGCAGGCGGUCUGUUAAGUCAGCGGUAAAAGCCCGGGGCUCAACCCCGGCGCGCCGUUGAAACUGGCUGUCUCGAGAUGGCGAGAAGUAUGCGGAAUGCGCAGUGUAGCGGUGAAAUGCCUAGAUAUCGCGCAGAACUCCGAUUGCGAAGGCAGCAUGCCGGCGGCACUCUGACGCUGAGGCACGAAAGCGUGGGUAUCGAACAGGAUUAGAUACCCGAGUAGUC
rnacentral:rRNA from 1 species